UACGUAGGGUGCGAGCGUUAUCCGGAAUUAUUGGGCGUAAAGAGCUCGUAGGCGGUGUGUCACGUCGGCCGUGAAAACCUGCAGCUUAACUGUGGGCGUGCGGUCGAUACGGGCACCACUGGAGUUCGGCAGGGGAGACUGGAAUUCCUGGUGUAGCGGUGAAAUGCGCAGAUAUCAGGAGGAACACCGGUGGCGAAGGCGGGUCUCUGGGCCGAUACUGACGCUGAGGAGCGAAAGCGUGGGGAGCAAACAGG
rnacentral:rRNA from 1 species